rnacentral:rRNA from 1 species
AACGCACCUUGCACCGUAUGAGUAAUUGUACGGUAUACCUGUUUGAGAAUCGUAAAGACCCACUUUCCCCCAGUUUUUGGGGGGAGAACUGUCAGCUGUCCACGCACAGUGGACUCUGAUUAAAAGUAGUAGGUUAUGUGGUCAGGCUGGUGGCCUGGGACAUUGUGUGCUAGAGACACGCGGUUCAAUCCGCAAGUCUUCCUCACAGUGGGUCCUGGGUCCUUUGAAAAGCCGGUUAGACCACUGCCUCCUCAGCACUAUCCCCUCACGGGGAUGGUACAACCCCACAUUUUUGAUCUCAAAUCAGGUAAGGCUACCCGCAGAACUUAA